UGCCAUGACCAGGAUUCGAACCUGAGUUAUAAAGGCCACAACGCAAUGUCCUAACCACUAGACGAUCACGGC
rnacentral:tRNA from 1 species